UGACCUCGGAUCAGGUAGGAAUACCCGCUGAACUUAAGCAUAUCAAUAAGCGGAGGAAAUCC
rnacentral:rRNA from 1 species